UACGUAGGGGGCAAGCGUUGUCCGGAUUUAUUGGGCGUAAAGAGCGUGUAGGCGGUUCGGUAGGUCCGUUGUGAAAACUCGAGGCUCAACCUCGAGACGCCGACGGAAACCCUCGAACUAGAGUCCGGAAGAGGAGAGUGGAAUUCCUGGUGUAGCGGUGAAAUGCGCAGAUAUCAGGAAGAACACCCGUGGCUAAGGCGGCUCUCUAGUACGGUACUGACGCUGAGACGCGAAAGCGUGGGGAGCGAACAGG
rnacentral:rRNA from 1 species